UCUUAUGGAUGAGCAAAGAAAGUGGUCUCUUGAAAUGGAAUCUACUGCUAGUGAACAUACAGUGAA
rnacentral:pre_miRNA from 1 species